rnacentral:rRNA from 1 species
AGUGAACGCUGGCGGUAGGCCUAACACAUGCAAGUCGAACGGCAGCACAGGAGAGCUUGCUCUCUGGGUGGCGAGUGGCGGACGGGUGAGGAAUACAUCGGAAUCUACUUUUUCGUGGGGGAUAACGUAGGGAAACUUACGCUAAUACCGCAUACGACCUACGGGUGAAAGCAGGGGAUCUUCGGACCUUGCGCGACUGAAUGAGCCGAUGUCGGAUUAGCUAGUUGGCGGGGUAAAGGCCCACCAAGGCGACGAUCCGUAGCUGGUCUGAGAGGAUGAUCGGCCACACUGGAACUGAGACACGGUCCAGACUCCUACGGGAGGCAGCAGUGGGGAAUAUUGGACAAUUGGCGCAAGCCUGAUCCAGCCAUACCGCGUGGGUGAAGAAGGCCUUCGGGUUGUAAAGCCCUUUUGUUGGGAAAGAAAUCCAGCUGGUUAAUACCCGGUUGGGAUGACGGUACCCAAAGAAUAAGCACCGGCUAACUUCGUGCCAGCCGCCGCGGUAA